rnacentral:rRNA from 1 species
CAUGCAAGUCGAGCGGAGAGAGGUAGCUUGCUACUGAUCUUAGCGGCGGACGGGUGAGUAAUACUUAGGAAUCUGGCUAUUAGUGGGGGACAACAUUUCGAAAGGGAUGCUAAUACCGCAUACGUCCUACGGGAGAAAGCAGGGGAUCUUCGGACCUUGCGCUAAUAGAUGAGCCUAAGUCGGAUUAGCUAGUUGGUGGGGUAAAGGCCUACCAAGGCGACGAUCUGUAGCGGGUCUGAGAGGAUGAUCCGCCACACUGGGACUGAGACACGGCCCAGACUCCUACGGGAGGCAGCAGUGGGGAAUAUUGGACAAUGGGGGGAACCCUGAUCCAGCCAUGCCGCGUGUGUGAAGAAGGCCUUAUGGUUGUAAAGCACUUUAAGCGAGGAGGAGGGUACUGGUAUUAAUACUACCAGGUACUGGACGUUACUCGCAGAAUAAGCACCGGCUAA